rnacentral:piRNA from 1 species
UAUGACUGUCAUAUACAGCCACUGUGU